rnacentral:lncRNA from 1 species
GCGGUCUCUGCACGCGGUGGCCACAACCUGGCCCCAACUUCCCUGCUCCCCAGGAAGAACAGAGGGCGCCCAUUUCCCCCGCCACCGGGAACCUGGGGUUUUCUGAAGCUGCCUCCCCCACACCCUACUUGGCACCACCCCUGUCUUCAGAUGACUCGGUUUCACCAUGACUACCCCAUAAAAUCCGGGAACUGCCAAAGACUUGGAAAAUAGGCACAUUCAGUCCCUGAGGACUUAAACUUUCUCAUUUCCAAAAGAAAAUUAUUUAUGUCCAACCCAUGAAUCAGAUACCAAGGGAUGUUUUUCAAAUUCCUAGCCCAGGAUGACAUCCAAGAAGGAAGGGAGG